rnacentral:rRNA from 1 species
GUAGGUGGCAAGCGUGUCCGGAAUUAUUGGGCGUAAAGCGCGCGCAGGUGGUUCGUUUAAGUCUGAUGUGAAAGACCCCCGGGCUCAACCGGGGAGGGUCAUUGGAAACUGGGGAACUUGAGUGCAGGAGAGGAAAGUGGAAUUCCACGUGUAGCGGUGAAAUGCGUAGAUAUGUGGAGGAACACCAGUGGCGAAGGCGACUUUCUGGCCUGUAACUGACACUGAGGCGCGAAAGCGUGGGGAGCAAACAGGAUUAGAUACCCUGGUAGUCCACGCCGUAAACGAUGAGUGCUAAGUGUUGGGGGGUUUCCGCCCCUCAGUGCUGCAGCUAACGCAUUAAGCACUCCGCCUGGGGAGUACGGUCGCAAAGACUG